UACGGGGGGGGCAAGCGGUGUUCGGAAUUACUGGGCGUAAAGGGCUCGUAGGUGGCCAACUAAGUCAGACGUGAAAUCCCUCGGCUUAACCGGGGAACUGCGUCUGAUACUGGAUGGCUUGAGUUUGGGAGAGGGAUGCGGAAUUCCAGGUGUAGCGGUGAAAUGCGUAGAUAUCUGGAGGAACACCGGUGGCGAAGGCGGCAUCCUGGACCAACACUGACACUGAGGAGCGAAAGCCAGGGGAGCAAACGGG
rnacentral:rRNA from 1 species